UCGAGGAUCAUUUCGCAAUGCGCGAAAGCGUGACGAUGCGACGCUGCGUGGAGGAUGAAGGCCCUCGGGUCGUAAACUCCUGUCAUUCGGGAAAAAUGGCUCAAGGCUAAUACCCUUGGGAAAAGAUGGUACCGAAAGAGGAAGCCACGGCUAACUCUGUGCCAGCAGCCGCGGUAAUACAGAGGUGGCGAGCGUUGUUCGGAUUUACUGGGCGUAAAGCGUGCGUAGGCGGUUUCGUGUGUCGGAUGUGAAAGCCCAUGGCUCAACUGUGGAAUUGCAUUCGAAACUACGAAACUAGAGUGCAGGAUGGGAGAGCGGAAUUCCUGGUGUAGCGGUGAAAUGCGUUGAUAUCAGGAGGAACACCGGUGGCGAAGGCGGCUCUCUGGAAUGUUACUGACGCUCAGGCACGAAAGCGUGGGGAGCAAACAGGAUUAGAUACCCUGGUAGUCCACGCCGUAAACGGUGCGCACUUGGUGUUGGAGGUAUUGACCCCUUCAGUGCCGGAGCUAACGCGUUAAGUGCGCCGCCUGGGGAGUACGGUCGCAAGAUUA
rnacentral:rRNA from 1 species